UGGGGAAAUUGGGCUUAAUAGAUUUAUCCAAGAUGAUUCUUCAAGUAGACAAAUUCAAUUUGCAGUAUCCCCUUGACCAAGGAUAGCAAAAUAUCUCACUCUGUUGGAACGAUGCAAGUGACAGAGCCUGGGGCUGAAGGCCUGUGGUACCUCUGCUCUGGGCAUUCUCAGAUGGGCUGCGCUGCUGAGGUUGAUUAUGCAGUUUCAGCUCCGUGUAGGUCACUGACUCCUCACUCACUGAUCUUCUGUCCUUUGCACCCUUUGAUUUUUGGUUCUGCCACCACAGAUCAAGCUUUUCUGUACUGAGCUUUGAGUUGGUUACCUGCUACUCAUUCAUUUCUGCAGAGGGGAAGUGAAUGGGAGAGAGCAUACAGAGGACAGUGCUUUUGAGCAGAAGGAGAGGUCUAAAAGCAGCCCGUGUGAUUUUAACAACCUGCCAUGCCAGCAGGACCCUCCUCAACUUGAUGUUCUGGCCUUUUUCUGACUCCAAAUAAGAGUCAACAUCAUUCCAAUCCCAGAGCUGGAAAAGACCUCUCAUGCUCCAUCCACACAUACUGAGGCCGGAAUACUCUUAAACCCUCAUGCACGGGGGGAAGAGCACCUCUGGAGAAUCAAGAUGGAUCCAACCUCAUCACCGGCAAGAAAGUCAUGAUCUAAGAUGAACAUCUUGCCCCCAGAGUCUGCAAACCGGGAAAGAGCAAAAAUGUCUUCAGCUCCAUCGACAAUGAGUCUUGUUGGAUGUGGUUGUUAAAAGUUAAUACAAGACUGGAGGAAGAAACAUAGGGAGCUAAUUAAAGUUGACCCUGGAAGGCCUGAUAAUGCGAAGGAAAGCAAGGCAAGCCUUCCCCACUGAACCGGGAUGAUGAUGGAAGUGUGCACUGGAAGAAAAAUGGAAGACCAACUCAAGAUAGCUCUCUGCCCCAGCUGCUCCCAACCGACACCAUCUACCCCACCUACCCACGACUGUGUGCCGGGGGUAAUAACUAGCUACAGGGGAAUAGCUGAUUAGAACUAUGCUGCCACUGAUGAAGGUUUUUGACUGAAGAAACAUCAAGGAUAUCCUGAAAGUAGCUGGUUUAUAGAAGAGAUGAACACUGCAGAGACUGUUCUUGGCCCUAUGGAUCAGCAUCAGCAUUGAGAGGCAUAUCUGCCUGGCUUCUAACUAGUUGUGCUCUGUGCCCCUGAGGGAACAGGACCGAUGGGGGUUUGAGAGAGGAGGUGGGGGGCAAAGGCGUGUAAGUGCUGCUGCACAAACUGUCCUUACUAUAACCUCUUGCUUUGUCCAAUUUCUUGGCCCUAAAGUCUUCCUGACAAAAUUAUGUGGCAAUGGGCCAACAUAUACGGGGGCAAGCAAAAGAGUUUCCAUAUGUCCUUAAACACAAACACCGCUGUAUGCUGGAGGGAGGUGGUGUGAGAUCAGUCAGUUAGUCAAUUGUAUUUACUGAGCUCUAGGUGAGCACUGUACUAACUGCUUGGGAGAGUACAAUUCAGCAGUGAACAGACCCAUUCCCUGCCCUUCAUUGUCGAACCAGAAGCAGUGACAUCAAUGUAUCUUUUCAGCAGGGCAGAGAAGCCCUCUUCAGGUACAGACCUGCUCACCACAUCCAGGGAUGGAAGACAAGAUGAUCCCUAAAACUACUGGCUUCUGCAAAACUGUGGAUAUUGGCCAACCACAGUCCGCUGAUUAUCCGCCUCAGAAGUAGGAAAUAAAUGAAGAAAUCUCUGA